AUUCCCUAUGCAUGUGCGGUCGCUUCUGACAGACUGUUUUUUUUUUAUAUCGAUUCGUUUCGCACGCUCCCCCCGUCGGCCGUCGAAACGUCCACACACCCCUCCGUCGGCUGCAUCGUCCGCCAGUUGGAUCGGCAGCACCACCCCUUCAUAUGAUUUCAAUGGUCUGGCCCGCAUUUGAUCAAACUGGGCAAGAUCUGGCCCGAACCUGAAAUGAGUUGACACCCAUGAUAUAGAGCCACAGCAUCAACAAGACAAUUCGUCUUUGCCUCUACAAUAAACAUAUACAAAAACGUCUGCUUUUGAUGUUCUAAUAAAAGGAUGACUUUGUCAAGUGCUGGAGAAAGGGAAGUUGCCGCAUUCUAAACGCCAUCUUUAGUGUUUCUGACAUGUCAAAGAGCUUUACUAACUCUUUAUCCGUUAGUUGGAGCUGCAUCCAAUUGUCAAAUGGAUGUUGAAUCUGUUCUGACGGGAUACAGAAAUUUUAAAAGCUGAACUAAUGAGUGCAAGGCAGUAUUUUUUAUGCUAAUGGUAAUUUUGGUUGCACAAUUUAGCGUUUGUUAAGUGACUGGACUGCAGAUUGGCCAAUAUAUAGAUAUAGAAUAACCCUGACCAGCCCCGACCACCUGAUGAUGUGGUGGUUCACUUAUACACCGUGAUCUGUUGGCUUAAGCUUCUAUCUUUUUCACAGUUUUUAUGCUGCAGAAUCAGUAAUAUCCUUCAAAACAUAUUAUACAACCUGCUGUUACAUUUGUAUAUGUUUGAGCAAACUGUUGUAAAAAUCCCAGGAAAUAAUCCAGCCAUGAAUUGAGGAAAACCCAGGUGACAGAUUUUGAGAUGUCCUGGAUAAUAGAUGAUGAAUCCUGCUAAGGCCGUACCCUUCCUCUGAUUGGCUUGCAUGCCUGGUCUAAAUUAGUUGGAUUGGUUUGGUUUAAGCAUGAGAUGGGAUAAUGGUUAAAUUAGGGUUAUCUGGGUAAGCCAAUGAGAGACUGAGUACUGGGAUUCCUAUUAUCGAAUCCUGAAUUUGAUACUCAAAUCACUUCACAGUCUGCAGAGGAUGCACAAGCUGUACAGCAUUGCUUUAUUCAAUAUUAAAUAAACAAAUGCACUAAUAAAUAUUUAUUUACUUUGCAGGGACAAUGCACACUAAUCAACAGGUGUACUGUAAGUGAGGCACGGUUAGCCAGAGAGGCUAAUUUCCAUCUGCUGUCCCCGGCUAGAUAUUUUUUAAGGUAAUCCUGCUAAUCCUGAAAAUAUGUGUAGUUUUAAAUAUAUAGAUUAGUCAAUCUGUUCAAAAUGAUGAAUAGACUUUAUUGAAAAAGGUUCAUUUUCAAUUUUUUCUUUACAUUUUUCAGAAUUCAUUUAUCUUUCAAUUCCAUGUUUGAAUAUUUAAUUUCUUAUCCAUUCAUUAGAAUUUUUUUUAUUAUUUCUCAGGAAGAGGCAGGUCCAGUGCAAUGUGUGUAUGGAAUAGCUGACAAUCAGGAGAAUAACCUUAUAAAUCGAUUGCAGAAUGAAUGAUAGCAACUUGCAGCUGCCUCCAGACCUCGACCACAAAACCUCCUCACCACUAGAGAGACACAUACACACGAGAUUCUAAACUCAAGAUAAGUUUUGAUGUGAUGUUGGCACGAGAUGAAAAGGUCAAGGAGGUCACAGGAAUCAAUAGGAAUCCUCGGGUGAAAACAUCAUGGCAAAUUGAACGGGCUCUAGUUUUUGUUUGACAGUUGGAAUGACCUUAACAUCGAUUGUUUCUAUUUUACACCUCGCUGUUUCAGUAUUGAACAAAAACUUGGCAUAAGAUUAGCAGCAAAGCUGCUCAGAACAAAUGGCUUUAUUCUAAAAAAACAUAAAAAACAUACAAAACUAAAUUCAGUCCUUUGCUUUUUAAUCUUUACACUUUACAGUAUGCAUCCGCACAGCGCAUAGCGAGCUGGGGUUUAGGAAACAGUCCAAAAAUCUGAGAACGCAGCAAAACCUACAUCCUGGAUGGCCUUUGGAGGUUCCUGUUUGAUGCCAAAUGAAAAAAAGAAAUGAUGACGGCAUUAUGCGCCUCCUGCUCUGCCCAGGGCAGAGUUGCAGGUGCUGUUGGGAAGCAUCCUUCCGGCUCGGGCCCAGGGAGAAGCGUAGUGGGAGAGCUUCCCAGUUUGCACCAUAACCAAUCAGCAGGCUGAUACAUUAUUGAGUUUCCAGGGUACUAUAAAGUUAGAUGACCUUCAGUGCAUCCCGUAAUCCCACGGUUUUAAACACAUGGCUGCUGCAUGGUGUAACACGAUAGCGUAGAAAGGAAAAAUAAAUUUCUUUCAAUUCAAAAGAAAGGUUUCUUUUUUGUACAAUCUAUUGCCCAAAUAUCAGCUCAAUUAAAUGAAAGAAUAAGCAGUAAAUUCAACAGCUAAAUAAAACAAAAUUAGCGCUUUAAAGUGAAACUUAUGAGUUCUUAAUAUGAAGCCUUAACGGUCUAAGACUUCAUAGUAUGCUUAGCAUGUUCUAUCAGCAACUCAUCCCUUCAUUUGGUCUUCAUGCCUAUUACAAUAAUUCACAUCCUGCAUGCAUUUUUACACUACUCACUAAUCUUCUCUUCGAGGAGGAAAUUGUGACUGCUCUAGUAUGUGCGGCAAUUCAAACCUUUGUUUCUGUCCACUCCUAAUUUCCCUUUCAAAUGCAGAAAAUUGCACAAUAUUUUGGGUGACCACGUCUGGCUCCAUGUUCAAGGAUCUCUGUUGACUGACAUUUCAAAACAGAAUAUAUUGCCUUUCUUUUUCUGCCAUUUCAUUUUUAUUUAAACUUCCAUUAAUGUACAACGGAAUUGCAUCUUCAAUUUUUACUCAGAGGGAACCUUUUGGCUGCGGACAUACAGUAUCUAUAAUAUGUAUACAUAUAUACUGUAUAUACAUAUAUAUGUACACAUAUGCAGGCCUUACUCGGGUAUAAAAUUACACUGAACCUCAAAGUCAACAAAUCCCCCCAUUUAACCAUACUGUCCAUUAUUUCUACUAAAUCCAAACUCAUUCAAUGACCCACACACAGCAAAAACAGAAAAUAACAUCUGUGUGUUGCUUUGUCGGUCACUUGAACAACAAUUUUUGUUUUACUGGCUUUGUGUAUACUGUAAAGAAGAGAACAGAAAAAAUGGAAGAAGUCUGAACUUUAGAUAGAAGCAAGAGCGAAGAAGGCAGCUUUGUACUGCUGUCAGGACCACAUCUGCUCUGCAGAUGUACCAUAGGUGGCGGACUGUUUGUUUAUGCAGCAGGGAGAGAACAUAUUUUGUUAACUGAGUGGGUUCUUUGAAUUAAAUGUGUAAAACAAGAGGAUUCCAUCCCCUAACAUCUCCCACUGCACUGCCUCCUGGGUAUAAGACAGGUUCUUGUUUUGCUAAGUUAGUGAACGUGACACCCUGAAAGCAGAUACAAUGCAUUUUUAAAUACUGUCAAAGGUUCCACCACAUUAAUUCCUCAGAAAUCACUACGACAUCACGCAUUAACAAUAUAAUCUAUGAUGAAAAACACUUUAUGGUCGAACGCCACGUGCCCCCCUCCUCAAAUUGUAAGGCAAAGAAAUUGUGAGUGAGACAUCACGCUAGCCCUCAGAGGAAUCAUUUAUUGAUGUAUAUCAAACAGAGCGAGGGAGGAUGUGGGCUCAGUUAUGAGACAGAAGGACAGAAAAGACAAAAGGAAUCGUUGAUGAUGUUCUUUUGAAGUUCCUUUAUUCCAGAAGUCCUUGGAAAUACAUAUUGAUGAAGUCCAAAUUGUCUGGCCUGAAGGGAGAAUGCAGCUUUGCAUUGCGUUAUAAAUAUUCACUAGAGAAGAGGACAUGGCUCAUUUCUAUGCGUGUCUCGAAUUAUUGCAUUCAAAAUGAUUCGCUAAGAAAAGAGAUAAUUACAGAUGAAUGUAGAGGCCGAGGCCAUCAAAAGAGAUCAUUUCCCUCAACACAAAUAGGUGCUCUUAUCGCUCCGUAAAACAUUAGUUUUAGUGCUCAAAUUCAAAGUUGGUGGCAGUCAAUGAAUUAUUAAUGAAUAAGCCUAAAGGCAGAAUCCAUUUGUCCUAAACAAAGUUAUAUGCAGUAAUCUACACUUUACGGAGUGUGGAAAAAGUAUUGCUUAAUUUGUACAGAAUACAUGGAAUUGAUACAUAUGAAAUCCAGGUUAUUGUGAGCCGUUAAUGGUGGUCUAAUAUACGCAGCGCUAACGUAAUAAUAAUCAAUUUCAUCAGUCCCACAAUGGGGAGUACCAAUACCACACAACUGGGAGCAGUGGGCUGCCGUUACAUGUCAAGGGACUCAGGAACUCUUCGACAUGUCUUAGUUGGGGAUCGGGUGCCGGAGGACCCUCUCUACUCCAUGCAUAGACAGUGGACAUGGGGGUCUCAAAAGACUAAACUUCCACUUGUGUCGCAAGUGAUACCAAGAAGCGAAUGCUGAAUAUGUAGUUAUCCAUUAUAUCCAGUUGAAUAUAAUAAUGAUGCCCUUAUAUGACCUCUGUGGUAAUUGUCGUUACAAAUGGACACGGACAACGGCAUGUCUUCAGCCUGCUGGCAUAUUGACUGAACUGACCUGCACGACAACACACAGAUACAUUUAUACAGCCCCAGGUACGGGGCGUCCAGAGGGUCAUACUACAACCUCCAUAGGUAAACAAGGCCAACAGCGGAGAGAUUUGCUAUUUCCUUAUACGUAUUUUAAAAGAUUGUCAUCCGUGCAACCAGAUCAGAAUACAGUCAAAUUCAGACAAAAUCAUGAAGAUUUGCUAUGGAAUUGCAAUGUUAAUAACGACUUUUGUCCAGACUGAAAUAAAUAGUGGACAGACAGAGAUCAAAUUUGGUCUAUAAAUGUAUGGUCCCCAGAGGAUAAACCCUGGUACUUGGAAUUUGCAGUGGUAGGCAGCUGUUUUGUGACAGUGAAGGUAUAUAAAAGCCAGUUGUUUUUCUCUUUUUUGAAGAGCUAAAAAGGGAGUAAAUAAUGGCCCGGUUAUCCAAACGAACACUAAUGUUUCUUAAUAGCCAACGGAUAGACAAUCGGCACCUGUUUCCUCACAUGCUCACAGACUGUACUUAUACUCAUCAACAGAACGACAUAUAUAUAUUUUUUAUAUUUUGUUUUUCUCCGCCAAGAUAAAAAAAAAACUCAACAGAAUUCUGAUGGCGUUGUUGAUGUCCUUUAUUAAAUUCCCAUGGCACAUUUACUUUACAACUCUGCAACUCAAAGGUUUCAAAAUCUGAUCCCGUCAGUCUAAAUAGUCAUUUACCGUCCAUAUAUUACAUUACGUUACAUGUCAUUUAGCUGACGCUUUUAUAUACUUCCAAGAGCUGUACAUCUCUUGGGUCAAUUUUACCUUCAGGCAUUCCAUAGUCAACGCCUCCAUCCAUUACUGUAGCUUGUUUGCCCUUCCCUUCCAAAUAAUGAUUUGGAAUCGCAGCACAGCUCUGGGAGGAAAGUCAUUUCAACAGUAUCUUGAUGUACAUCGCAAACAAAUGUCACAUUUUGAAAACAUCGAAGAGGCACCCAGCGAAACAUCCUGCCUACACGACAUGGUAUCUUUUGGGACACAGUCACCACAAGUGUGAGUGACAACUAUGGUCAUGCUAGCAACUCCUGUUGCGAUUACAUAUGCUUUCUAUUGUUUCAACACCUGUGAUGGGAGGAAGUAUCUUUGAGUUGCCCACUGCUUUCGUUGUCGUCUAGGUUUCAUUACAAAUGUCCUGAAAUUAAACCAAUUUUGUCGUAAUUUAGUGGCAUCUCAACGAUGAGUCAUGUUACAGUUAGUUUUAAUUGCCAAAUCAUGUCUUGACUUUGAGAAAGAUCUCCAUACAAUAUGAAUAUGAGCAUAGACACCGCUGUCAUUUAGGAGUUUUUUUUUGUUCACAGUGUACUUCAUAUUUGAAUAAUGGCCACUCCAUAUACUAUGUCACUGGUCUGCCAAUCAUUAGUUAUAAUACGUCACGUUUCCCUGCCAGAGUGAGAUUUCCUCUGGCUUGACUUGAACUGAAAGUCAGGAUUAAGGCACAAUGCCAUUGGAACUAUGAAUCUACAUAUGGGUAAUGAGGUGGAUCACAUGUAAGCUGAUCAAAUUAAACCUGAUUGGAGCAGGUUGUCAAACGGCAUGUUUGUCAAGGUCCAUCUCCCAGAUUGUGUUCCUCGACCUUAUGUUUGAGAGGUUUCAAUCUUCUAGAUUCUUCUUCUUUUCUUAGUUUGAACUCAAUUUCUAUCUGUAUUCACAAAAAUACUUGCAAACAUUAUUCCUACCAGGUUAAUUGCUGAAAUCUGAAAACCCAGAAUAGAAGACAAAACAAAUGUGAAGACUUAGUAAGUAAAUGAUUUACUCCCAAUGCAAGUGGGGGAUUAUUACCUACAUUUUGGUAGUUUUGCAAUUAAUCUGGUGAAACCAUAAGAACUGUCAUUGAAUUCCUGGAUCUUCUACAUGUGCUAUUUUAAUAAUAGUCACAACUAGUAAAAUAACAUCAACUUCAUUUUUGUUCCACUUGGUUUGUUUUAAAAAGUCAGCGUGUACAAGAUCCUGACUUGAAAAACUUAAAUGGCUCACCGUUUACUUUGGUCAUGUGUUCAUUUAAUUUUCAAUCACAUUUUAAGAUAAUUUUAGAAUACAAAACAUACUUCAGUUGCAUUUAAAAAUUCUGUAACUUUGCACAUUUUUCCAGGAUCUUCGGUGCUAGGUAAAUACUAAUUAUAAUUAAAUACUAAUUAAAUACUAGACCUAGAAUCCAUUGUUGGUGUGAUUAGUAAUCCUUGCUGUUUUUUAAAUUGCAUUGCUUAAUUCCUAUUGCAAUAUUUCACACCAAUGUUUUAAUUCUUGUAACUUAAAUUAUUAUCAGUAAUUAUCAGAAAAUUAUAAUUUUUUUUUUUAUUUUGAUUUGAUUUUUUUAAAAUACUGAAAAUAAAAUGUUCCCAAUGUCAAAUUAGUUCUCAAAACCAAUACUUGGCUUUUCACUGCUUCUUCCAUCAAGCAAUGCUGGAUAGGGUACAAAACAGGCCCUCUGUGUCAUAUUCUUCCCAGUAAAUGCAUGUAAAUGUCAUUCUAGGGAGGAACGGAAUUUAAUAAAGCAAAAUUGCAUCGCUUAGCCAGUCGAACAACAAAACAGACACUAAGCCCGCCAGAGCAGCCUUUUUAAUUGUAUUUUCAACAUGCAUUCACCUCCCGUGUGAGUCCACGUGUCUGGGUGUUGGUAUAUACAUAGUCUCACAGCCCCCUGUCUCUUGAUUAAUAUGCACGGCACAUGUAGCCGAAACAAACUCCUGCUUUUCUCCGCCUCUGUUGCGUCCCCCCUCCCCUAUGCACUUAUCGCAUUUAACAUUGAAUAACCAUUCAAAUAGCGUCUGUUGAGGAAUCAUUUUGCACAAUGCGCCAUCUGUGCCACGCUGCCGCUCUUUUCACUGCCGAUAGCAACAGAGGAACGCAAGAUCACAGGCAAAAUAACUCAAACAAGAAAAAGCUUACACGCGCAAAACGGGUCGGCUGUAAUCAGUAAUCAAUUCUACAUUGGCAGAACCAAAGCUGCGGCAUGGGGGAAAUAUUUGCGGAAUAAUUUGCAAACAUCAGUAAGGAGGGGGGUAGUCUCUAUGGGGGCUGAUUGGAGCGGUGACAUCUCUGAUUAAAACAGCACCGGCUGAUGGAGCUUGGGCUAAAUGUGAUAGGUCUCACCUCAUCCCUUUUUACUGAACCAGGAAAUAAGUGAGAGCCCAACGAUGUAAAAGAAAGAAGAAAAAAAGUGAAGAUUCACAGGAACAUCUUUAACCUGUCUCCUUCGCUAUCAAAUUACCACUUUACCUGCCUCAUUCGCCGCCUGCCAUAUUUAAAUGUAUUCAAAUGAGGAGGAAAAGGCAGAUGCAGGGUGGGAUUCUGGCAAAGUAAUCAGCAGAUUUAUGAUAAUGAGAUAUUAGUGUUAUGGCUCCCUUUUUUCUGGCAGUGUGUGAACUCCGGCUCUGGCUCAGGCCCCACGCCCCCGCCAAGCCAUGAUUAGCACCAGUCCGUCGCACCAACAUCACAUUUAUUGAUUAGAAGGGUGAUGUGCAUUUUGUUUUCUAGAAAGCUGCUACAGAGUCAGAGAAAACACCAUGAAAACUGUACAGACAUCCACAGCAAAAGCUGUUGUCCUUGUUGCACUGGUUUUCAAUGGCAGGGACUUGAGAAAUAGUUUCCUGGUCCACUUAAAAUGAUUUCAUGAAGCCAAUAUGUGCUGUGCACAGGUGUUAAAGGAUCACCAUGUAAAACGUAUGGAAAGUUCCCAUGGGUUUGAGGUGAAUGGGUUGAUACAUUGAUACAUCAAAUCAAAAAGACUUCUACGUUGAUACUGAAUAGAUUUUUGUAGGGAUAAAUGUUAAUUUCUAGUAAAGAUGACCAAUAUAGCUAAAGUUAUUAACUGAACUGAGGAUGAGGGAUUAGUGUGAGAGUGAUCCCUGAUCCAUAUCUUGGAAGAAUUGUUAUUGAGAGUUGAUUCAUUGCAAUGUCCCUAACUAAGAGAGGAAGCCCUUUCUCUAUUGUAGUGUAAAUCGUUAUUCUAGGGUUGUAUAUUUGGUGGAGGACACAUGGUCUCUACUAGUCGUAAUGCUUUUAUGAGUUUUACGUGAGGCACACAACUUCAUCCUCUUGUCAAAUAUUUAAGUAUUAGUUUUCGGUUUCGUUUUUUUGAUGAAUCCUUCAUUUGAUGAUAUUUUCAGUUCUGACUUGCCUUUACUGAAUCUUGAAUCAUAAUGAACUCUUCUCCCUUCCUGUAGAUGUGUCCUGGAAAACCGAUAAGAUAUUUUCCAAUCUGUCAAAAAAUAAGGAAAUGUAGAAAGUAGGAAGUAUGUAACACAGCUCAUAUAAUGGGCUACAGUUUUUUAUAAUAACAUUGUCUAUUUGAACCGGGUGACAACAUCCGGUUCUAUAAAUUGAAGCCAAUUGAAAGUGUAAAUGUGCGUUCUCUCUACUGGCCAUCAGGGGGUGACUCCUUGUUGCAGAAAGUUAGAUCGAAUAGAAGUCUAAAGCCUAGUUUAUGCUUCUGCGUUUUCAGAGCGACGCAAGGACACGCAGACAAAAGAGCCCCUUGCGUGCUUUUUCACACCUCCUUGCGUGCGUCGACCCAUUUUUCUAGGCGCAAGCCUCCUGCAGCCCGCAAGGCUGCGAUUGGUCUGCUAACUGCAUCCUUUCCGAAGUCUCACAUUUCCGUUUUCAUAGCAAAAUACUGCCAUUAUUAAAACGAAGACUGUUUACGAGAAAACGGAUCAGAUUGAAGAGCUUUUUUGAAGAAAUACAUAAUUAUGAAGGACGCACGGAUCGCCUCGGAUUCAUGGAGGGAGAUCGCCGCAAACGCCGGUUUGCCGGUCGAGGGGUGAACAAAGUUGUGGAGGAAAAUAUGGGACAAAUGUGUCCAAGAUGAAAAGCAGCAGUGGCGAUGCACGGGGCAAUAAAGUCUAUGAUAAAUACCAACCAACGACUUCCACACACAAAGACGUGACUCUCUAGGUCGUCUUCAACAAAACACAUUACUCCGCCUGUUGUUCCGGCAGUGAAUUGCUCUGCAACACACGCAAGACUUUUAGAACCAUGAAUUGAAACGAGUGCCUCAACACGACGGUGUGUAAAGACACAGACACAGAAACAUGCGCCAGCCUUAAGAAAAAUACACUACUUCUCACUUACGUCCGAAAGCAUUGUAAAUAUAAGUUUGGUCUCAAUCCCUAGUUUUAUGUCUAGUUCCUGAUGUUCACUGUAAGUUAUGGUUAAUUUAUAGUAAACUACCCGAUAAAAAGGUUUGCUUUAGGACAGCGCUAGCUGUUGAUUCUUCUUCUUUGUGUUUUAUGUUACGGAGCGAUUAAUUUAACCAUUUUUUUAUUUGAAUCUGUCAUCCGGUCUUAAAAAAUGCACAGAAACAUUACCACUGUUCACAAUGGGUUUUAUUAUUGUUCAAGCUGCAAAGCAAGACAAAACUGAAUCAAGCCCUCGGGUUUAAUGGACAGUGUUUGUCCUACACAGAACUAAUGAAUAAGCAACAUUAGCAAGCAGCUAUGUGAGCUAGGUAGACUAGAGCACAACCUCUUCUGCGUAAAUAUUUGUGUAUAAUUUGUUUUGUUACCAUUUCAGAUUCUGAGCUGCUAUGCAAGUAAUUAACUCUCAAAUGUUUUCAAAAUCUGUGAGACACAGAACGUAUGUCAUGAUUAAUUUAACACGGUUGCACUCUUGAACGCGGAUCCUUAGAAAUUUUGGGAUGUUUACGGCCGAUCUGGGAGAACUGGAGGGCAGGACACAGACGGGUGUCCCUCUCUCCCUGACUCCCAAAAUGGACCAGUACUGCAGCCCUGUAGUCAAUCAUAUUUGAGGGUUAUAAUAAUGGUAGACAUGUGCGACAAACACACCAAACUGAGCAGAUAUUCUAACUUAACUAACCAAAAGGAACAAAAGAAAAUACAGGCAUCUUAUCUUCCUCCCUAACUGAAAACUCUCCAGGUUCCUUCAUAACUGCAGCUUGAUUUGGUGUCCAAUCACCGGCAACUAAACAGAGAAACACAGUGGAGGGAAAACAGCACCAUCCUCAGGCAGGGAGGUGCACAACAUUUAUUUUUAUGUUUUAUAUUUUAUUUUAUCAUUUAUUUAUGUAUUUCAUCUUAUGACUCUCAACAGUUUGUUGUUUGUACGAAAACUUAAACAAAGAAAAAAUAAUGGAAAUAUCAGUCCUGUCAAACAAUAAAAAAAUGUAAUCACAUUUAUGUCAUAGUUA
ensembl:lncRNA